UUCAUUCAAACUGUGCUGUGAAACAAACCAUGAUCUCUUCAUCUUUAGUGCUGCUUCUGGCAGUGAUAUCCUGUGUCCACUGUGUUGAACUGACUCAGACUGAUUCUAUUGUCUUAAGUCCUGGUCAGGUUUUGACUCUGUCCUGUAAAAUCUCUGGAUAUUCAGUGACUGACAGCAGCUACUGGACUCACUGGAUACAGCAACCUGCAGGAAAAGCUCUGGAAUGGGUUAGAGAGAUAGGUAGUGGUGGUGGCACAUACUACAGUGAUAAACUGAAAAGUAGAUUUCAAGUUACCAGAGAGUCUUCCAGCAACACAGUGACUCUGAAAGGACAGAAUAUGCAGACUGAGGACACAGCUGUGUAUUACUGCGCCAGAGAGAGAGCACACAGUGAUACAAAACACAAGCAGUUCUGGCCAAAAACAUCUUGA